rnacentral:rRNA from 1 species
GAUGAACGCUGGCGGCGUGCCUAAUACAUGCAAGUCGAGCGAACAGACGAGGAGCUUGCUCCUCUGACGUUAGCGGCGGACGGGUGAGUAACACGUGGAUAACCUACCUAUAAGACUGGGAUAACUUCGGGAAACCGGAGCUAAUACCGGAUAAUAUAUUGAACCGCAUGGUUCAAUAGUGAAAGACGGUUUUGCUGUCACUUAUAGAUGGAUCAGCGCCGCAUUAGCUAGUUGGUAAGGUAACGGCUUACCAAGGCAACGAUGCGUAGCCGACCUGAGAGGGUGAUCGGCCACACUGGAACUGAAACACGGUCCAGACUCCUACGGGAGGCAGCAGUAGGGAAUCUGCCGCAAUGGUCGAAAGCCUGACGGAGCAACGCCGCGUGAGUGAUGAAGGUCUUCGGAUCGUAAAACUCUGUUAUUAGGGAAAAACAAAUUUGUAAGUAACUAUGCACGUCUUGACGGUACCUAAUCAGAAAGCCACGGCUAACUACGUG